rnacentral:rRNA from 1 species
GAUGAACGCUGGCAGAAUGCUUAACACAUGCAAGUCGAUGGGGAAGUGGUGCUUGCACCAUGGUAACCAUGGCGGACGGGUGAGUAACGCGUAAGGAACUUACCUGCGGGACCGGGAUAACAGCAGGAAACUGCUGACAAGACCGGAUAAGGUCAUUAAGCUGCAUAGCUUAGUGAUGAAAGGAGACGCCUGCGGAGAGCCUUGCGUCCUAUUAGCUAGUUGGAGGGGUAACGGCCCACCAAGGCGAAGAUAGGUAGCCGGCCUGAGAGGGUGGACGGCCACAAGGGGACUGAGAUACGGCCCUUACUCCUACGGGAGGCAGCAGUGGGGAAUAUUGGACAAUGGGGGCAACCCUGAUCCAGCAAUUCUGUGUGCACGAAGACGGUUUUCGGAGUGUAAAGUGCUUUCAGCAGGGAAGAAGGAAGUGACGGUACCUGCAGAAGAAGCGACGGCUAAAUACGUG